rnacentral:rRNA from 1 species
CUUUCAGCAACGGAUCUCUUGGCUCUCGCAUCGAUGAAGAACGCAGCGAAAUGCGAUAAGUAAUGUGAAUUGCAGAAUUCAGUGAAUCAUCGAAUCUUUGAACGCACCUUGCGCUCC